GACGAACGCUGGCGGCGUGCUUAACACAUGCCAGUCGAACGGAAAGUCCCUGCUUUUGUGGGGUGCUCGAGUGGCGAACGGGUGAUUAACACUUGAGUUACCUGCCCUUGACUUUGGGAUAACUUCAUGAAACUUGGGCUAAUACCGGAUAGGAUCUCCUGCUGCAUGGUGGGGGUUGGAAAGUUUCGGCGGUUGGGGAUGGACUCGCGGCUUAUCAGCUUGUUGGUGGGGUAGUGGCUUACCAAGGCUUUGACGGGUAGCCGGCCUGAGAGGGUGACAGGCCACAUUGGGACUGAGAUACGGCACAGACUCCUACGGGAGGCAGCAGUGGGGAAUAUUGCACAAUGGGCGGAAGCAUGAUGCAGCAACGCAGCGUGCGGGAUGACGGCAUUCGGGUUGUAAACCGAUUUCGCCUGUGACGAAGCGUGAGUGACGGUAAUGGGUAAAGAAGCACCGGCUAACUACGUG
rnacentral:rRNA from 1 species